GCUGACACUAUUGAAUGGUGGGGACUGAAGCAAGGGCUGCCUGAGACAUGGCAGUGAGCAUGCCUGACAGACACAGAGAGGGCUGUUGAGGGCAGUGGGGAGCUAUGGAAGGCUUUUGAGCAGAGGAGUGAUGUCGUAGAUCUGAGCACCAGGCUACAGAGUGGUGACCGACUGCAGGGCCAGACCAGAUCAGGGAGACCAGUGAGGGGGUGGCACAAGGGUCCUGGUUAGAGAUGGGGAGGCCUGAACUAGGGCAGGAACUGUGGGGAUGGAAAGGUCGGGAAAUGAGGACUAGUGGGGGGCACACAGCUGAACCAACAGUGAUGAGACAUGAGUGAGUAGACACAGUGAGUUGUGGGGAAUGGUAAAGCCCAGUGUGCUGGGAGCCAUUGAUCCACAACAUACCAGUAUACUCAGGAGGAUAUUAAGGAGGGCCUCGAAGUGUGUACAGGCGUUGCCCAGGGACCCAGGAGGGAAGAGCAGCCCAGAAAGGGGCCUCCAAAAGCAACAGUGUAGAGGUGGGAAAGAGCCCAUGUUUGGAAAGGAGUGGCUGUGGGCGAGUUCGGGUGUGGGGAGGAGAUGGUGGGGUGAGGAGUUGGGAGUCUCGCGGGCCGUUCUGUAGGCUGUUGGGGGUGGGGGUAAGCAGGCUCAGCAGAAGAAGAGAAAUUAAACAUCUGUGUUACUUUCCUGUGGCUACUGGACCAAAUUCUACAAACCGGGUGGCUUAAACCAGCAACUUACUCUCACCAUUCCGGAGGCCGGAAGUCUGAAAUCAAGAUUGGCUAAAAUUAAACCGACCACCUUGCGUGUGGGUGAGGAUACAGAAUGCUCAUGCACCCCCGGUGGGAGUACAAAAUGGUACAGGCAUGUGACAAGACUGCUUGGCAGUUCCACCGAGGCUGAACAUAUGCCAACCCUAUGACCAAGCAAGCCCACGCCUGAGUAUGAAUCCAACAGAAAGACACAUGUAAGUUUAUCAGAAGACAUGUACAUGAAUGCUCAUAGCAGCAGCAUUUGUGAUAGCCUCUAGACAGAAGCUACUCAAAUGCUUGUUAAACAGUAUACUCACACAGCUGAACACGCUUCAGUAACGAGAACAGACAAUCUGCAAACAUACAUACCUAUGUGGAAGAAUCUCACUGACUUUUGUGAUAAAAGAUUCCAGAAACAAAAGAGCACAUGCUGUCUGAUUCCAUUUAUGUGAAGAACAAAAACAGGUGCUACUACCCCAUGGCAAUAGAGGACAGAAAAGUGGUUGCCUCUGGAGGAGGUCUUAAUUGGGUGCUGGACACGUUAGGAAUCUUGAUCUGGGUGGUGGCCAUCUGGGUGUGUACGUAGGUACCAAUCCACUGAACUCCCACUUACAAUCUGCACACCUAACUGUGUUUUAUACCUAAGUGGAAAAAAGGGUUUCAGGUAUAAGGUCACCUCCACCCAGGGCUUGGAGACUGCAUCUGCCAUGCACAGACACAUGACGGACCCAGCCCCAGUCACCCACUGUGAUAGAACAAAGUUUCCAAAAACGUCUGGCCCAGUGUUUUCCAUUCCACAAGUGCUCUUCCCGAACCUUGCCAUUCCACCACCAAGAGGUGAAGUCUCUGCUCUGUCCCCUCCUCGCCACCCCCAACCUGGGCCAGCUUUGAUGAAUAGAGUGUGAUGGAAGUGACACUGGGUGACUUCCAAGGCUAGGUCAUAAAGGUCUUCCUCUGGCUCACUUUUGACAUACGGCUUUGAAACCGCCAUGUAGGAAGCUGGCUGUCCUGAUGUCACCAUGCCGUAGAGACCAUGUAGUGAGACCAGUGAAGGGCAGAAAGGUGCCUGAGGGGCCCCAGCUGUUCAGCUCUUGUCGCCCUUUGAAGUGCCUAACAGAUGCCAACCAAGCAGAGACAAGCUACCCAACAGCAGAUUCAUGGGCUAAGUUCAUGGUGGCGGUUGUUUUAUGCUACUCUGCUUCAGGGUGGAAUGACAUGGACCAGUAGGUGACCAGAACACCAGUUAACCUCCCAGCUUCCUCAGGGCCCUCCCUCCUUCACUCCUGCCAGCUGCACUGGGUGCAUGCAGUUCCCCACUGCAGGCAUGAGCUCCCUUGACUGUAGUGUAGGAGUCUGCUCCACUCUGCCAGGCCCAGCUUCUGCCCUGCCUCCUCCAGGAAGCCUUCCAGUUCACAGUGUUGGGCAUGCUGAUAGUGGGGGCUGGUGAUAGCAGGGGAGGCUGUGCAUUUUCAGGGGCCCGAGGCAUACAGAAAAUCUCUGUAUUUUCUGCUUGUUUCUGUUGUGAACCUAAAACGGCUCUACAAAAUAGUCUAUGAAAGAAAAAAGUAAGCAGACUCCAAAAUCAGACUAUGUCUGUGUUCAGAUUGCAAACCUUCCACUUACUAGCUGGGUGCCCUUGGGCAAGUUAUUUAGCUUGGAACCUCAGUUUCCUUGUCCAUAAAAUGGGAUAGUAAUAGUGGCUACUUUGCAGGUCUGAUGUGAGGAUUAAAGGGAUUAAAUCUAUGAAAAGCACUCAGAAUGACCCUGGCACUCCCCAAUGUUGACAAUUAUUAUUAUUGCCCCAGGCCCUGUGUUCCUAUCUUCUCUGAGCUCCAGGAGCUUACUCAGCGUGUGAGAUUCAUCUGAAACCUAAUAUGUAUGUAUCAUUCAUUCAUUCAUUCAAUUUCUGGAGUACCAGCUGUGCACCAGGCACUGAGCUAAGGAUGCUACAAUGAAGGUGGUGGACCACCUUUGCCCUCAGGGGCUUACCUUCUAUGGGGAUGGAAGUGGACAAAUACAUCAAAGAGCUGACAGAUUUUCCUGAGAGCUCCAAAAGGCAAAAAAUAAAAGGU